AAUUUAUAGGCUAGAUACAAUUAACCAUUACUUAUUUAUACUUAAUUUAUCAAACUGUCUAUCAGUAGAAGUUGAAGAAGCUGGACCAAAUUGGGGGAGCAGAGAAAACUAUUAGCAGGAAAGACACAGAUUUCUCACUCCUUGAUUUCCGAGCUUCAUACGUGGAAAUGGAUGUCCAACUGUGGUGCUGGCUGUCAUCGUUCUUUCUACUGAAUUCCAAGGUUACCCUGUCCUAAAUCCUAUACAUGCAUUCCAAGAUCCCCUACGACUACGACACCUUUGAUCAUCCUCAGGUAAAAAGAAAGGAUGCAAUGUUGUACAUUAAUUAUUCUUGUACCAAUUAUCAAAAUCAGCAAUGCCAACAAAAGGUAGACUUAUUUAUGAAGGAUGUACUAAACAAUAGAAAAUUUAAAAUAUUGCAAGACGUGGUCAUAGAGCACGCCACUAUUCCUGAUAAGCCCUGAAGAAGCUUGACCUACUUCUACAAAAUGUGGAAGAGAGAAAUAUUCUACACUAAGCACUUCCCUUCUCUGAUUCAAAAACUGGAAUGAUCUGGUUGAGGAAAGCUUCCGUUGAGUUUGAAACAGAGAAUUUUGAAAUGAGC
rnacentral:lncRNA from 1 species